rnacentral:rRNA from 1 species
GACGAACGCUGGCGGCGUGCCUAAUACAUGCAAGUCGAGCGAAUGACGAGAAGCUUGCUUCUCUGAUUUAGCGGCGGACGGGUGAGUAACACGUGGGCAACCUGCCCUACAGAUUGGGAUAACUCAGGGAAACCUGGGCUAAUACCGGAUAAUCCUUCGAAUCACAUGUUUUGAAGUUGAAAGGCGCUUCGGCGUCACUGUAGGAUGGGCACGCGGUGCAUUAGCUAGUUGGUGGGGUAACGGCCUACCAAGGCAACGAUGCAUAGCCGACCUGAGAGGGUGAUCGGCCACAUUGGGACUGAGACACGGCCCAAACUCCUACGGGAGGCAGCAGUAGGGAAUCUUCCACAAUGGACGAAAGUCUGAUGGAGCAACGCCGCGUGAGUGAUGAAGGUUUUCGGAUCGUAAAACUCUGUUGUAAGGGAAGAACAAGUACGCUAGGAAAUGAACGUACCUUGACGGUACCUUAUUAGAAAGCCACGGCUAACUACGUGCCAGCCGCCGCCGUAA